UUUUUUUUUUUCCUGGAUAAAGUGAGGAUAACUAGGAAAGUUACCAUGUGAAUAGAAUGCUACUAAAGCCAAAUAUUCAAAUACCAAAUACAACAAAGAACUACUUAGGCACACAAUAAUUUAUCAAAGUUACUAUUCAACUUAAUAUUAUCAACAGGUUCAGAAAACAAUAUGAGUUUUUCUCAUGAGAGACUCCAUCUGAGUUUCUAAUUAAAUAACUUUUGUAUAGUUCCUUUUCUUCCCUGCACAAAAGGUCUUUCUUUCCUCCAUUCUUGCUCUCCUUCUUUCUUUGUUGAUACUGUUUACUUCCAAGCCUGCCUCUGAACUCUCUGUCUAAUUAGCUCUUGAUAGAUCUGCUGCCCUGUUUCCACAAACAUUUAAUUCUGCCGUCAGUCCUAUUUACAUUACAGCAUGUUGCAUUGUCUUUUACCAGGCUAAUUUUGUUUGAGUGAAUGUAAAUCCCAUUAAACAGUCACCUAUUAGACUGUGGCAUAUAAACUCCAAAAGCCUCUUUAUUAUAAGAGUGAACAUAGGCCCAAUUGAUAGGAGAUUUCUGGUACAUUUCAAUUUGUGGUCUACUUCAAAUAUUCUGUCUGCUUUAAGCUUAGGCAGCUCACUGUUUCAAAGUAUUUGCCAGAUCAUUUGAGUAUCUUUCAACCUGUAUAUUCCAUAGCACAGUAUAGCAAGUAUCAUUUGCUUGUUGUCUUUAGGAAAAAAUAUGCAUUUAUUUAUACUUAAACAUAUAUUAAAUACGUAUUUUCCCCUUUUACUUAUUUUAUUUUCCCCUUGGUAAUCUUUUUCAAAAGACUGCAUGAAGGUGUUUGCAAAUAUUAAGAUAGCUUGCAGAUUCCCUCUAAAAAGAGCUCUUCCUAAAUACUGAACAACUAUGUAGAAAAGGUGUUUUCUGAAGAGGAGAAAGACGUAGCCUUAUAAGAUGCAGCCCAUCUAAGGUCAAGAAAGCAGAUGUUGGCAUCAGAGAGAAUUUCCUCUCAUAACGUGGAUGUAAUUUGAUAGGCCAAAACAAGGGAAAUAAGAUGUCAGAGAUCAUUAAAAGUUCUGGAAAGACACAGUAGUCAAUUAGCAGGGUUAGUAAUAUUUAUACCAAUAUACUCAAUCAGAUUAGUGCCAGGUACUGGUUUUUAUCUAAGUAAGGGCUCAGUAUAGACUUUCCCCAAAGCUAAGUGAAUCAUUCAGCACUACAGUCAUGUAACUAUGUGGUUUAAAGUAAGGGUGAGAAUGGCUUUCUUUCCAUUUCCUCUUGGUAAUAAACUCAGAAAGACACCCAUGAAGUGCAAACCCUCAUGCACAAAAUUAUUUCUCACCCCUGCAGGCUUGUCAAAGCCAAUAUUUCAGGAAAGCACAGGUUGCUGAAGGGGACUGUGAUUUUUUUUGCCUGCUGUGAGUCUCUAAGGACAACAAACAUUCCAAAAGAGACUGUAGCCAAAAUUGUUAAUAAUUUCACAUAGCUUUUUUGCCAUGACAACAAAAUCCACAAGAAGACUGAAUAGCUAAUGGGUUAGGUGUUAAGUCACAGUUAUUUGUGUAGGAAUAAAAAUAUGUAUGGUAUCAAAUACUAGUUAUGGCAUCAAGCUGGGUAAGGAUCUAAACAAUAAUGGAAAUAAUUUUGAGUAUCAUUCAAGCUGUAUAUUCUGUAGCACAGUAUAGUAAUGGAAUAUUUCCAUAUUCUAAUAAUGGAAAUACAAAUAUAUGGACUGUAAAGUGAAUAAUUAUUAAUAGACAUUUGCUUGCUGUAAUAAACCUAAAAGAAGGUCAGGAAAGUACUUAAUCUGAAUGGUUUAUGUUAUUUUAAGAACAUAAAGGGAAGGGGAGGGCAUGAUACAUAGUACUAUGUAUACAACUGAUAAGCAACAAAGAUAUAUUGCACAGCACAGGGAAAUAUAGUUAUUAUUUUGUAAUAACCUACAAUGGAAGAUAGUCUGUAAAAAUAUUGAAUCACUAUACUGAAACUAAGAAAAGACUGUUAAUGAACUAUAUACUUCAAUUUUUAAAAGAGCAUAAAAAAUUACAAAACAACUGAGCAUCAGAAAUGGAUUUAUAAUGUAAGAAUUUGCAUCAAUACCCAUCCAUACUUACAGUAUGCAGCUUCUCAAGUAAAUAUUACAUAAAUCUAAACUCUUUUUUUUUGUCUUUUCUAGGGCUGCACCCACAGCAUAUGGAGGUUUCUAGAUCCAUAUAGGUCUCUGAACUACCUAUAAUAUUUAUAACAGUAACUUUUUAGAAUAAAUAUCUGUAUGUUCUAUCAGGUCACAGUGUACAAUCUUAUGACUAUAGAUGGGUUUCAAAACCUCUGAAUCUCAGGUUCCUCUUGAAAAACUUAAAAAGAAUCUACAUUAAGAUAAAAUGGAACCAUUACGUAAACAAAUACUUGUUUACUUCUUGAUAGAAAUCACAGGUUGUACUAGGCACUGGAUAUACAGUAUUGAAAAACCCUGUCUCUCACAGAGCUAUAGUGAUGAAGGCGUCUAAAAACCCUAUACUUAAAACUUUUGAUAAGCUCUGUAACAGACAGUGAUGGCGAUAGCUUGGCCUCUUCAAAAUGUUCUCCCUUUUACUCUUAUAUUAAUGAAAUUUUUCAUUUUUAAAGUGAAGCUAUUGCAAGGAAUUCUUAUAAUCUGUUCCCUCUGCCUAUCCAUGACAUGCGUAAUCAACCACAAGAGUCAUCUCUUGUCAAAGAGAUGACUUUAUUUCCUUGUUCACAGUAAUGGGAAGCCAACUGAGAAGAGGCAUGUUCUUUACAGUAAGAACACACUGUGAAGAUAAUAUGAGAACUGCUUUAAGCCCUUUUGGUCACAAUUUCAGAAAAUCUGGCUAAGGAUGAAGCCAAAAGAGAGGAAAUCAGAGCUGACAUAUUAAGACUGGGAGAUGGUAUCCUAAUGAUAUUAUUUCACUCCCAGAUCUAUGUAAGUUUCAAGCCCAAAACAUUCUUGGACUUCCCAUUUUUC
rnacentral:lncRNA from 1 species